UCAAAUGCACAUGUAAAGCCGAGCUUAAGUUUUACAACCCCGUUUCCGUUCUUACCCCGUUCUCAUUCUCUCAAUACCGGUGCCAAAGAUAAGUUCAUAUCAAAGUAUUCCCGUGCUGACCAAUAUAAAAAACUCGUGUGAAGUUGGAAUUAAAUUCUUUAAAUUGAUUCGAUUGUCUGCGGGUAUUUAACUACCCCUUCUGUUGAGUGUUGCGGUUACAGCCCCCGAGUACCUUCUUGGCUAGGGGUCUCUCCAGCAUCGAGCCCCACAAGGUUGGGCAAUAAUAAGUUCUUAUGGAAAACCUCAUUGCCUGGAUGACUAACCGCGAUCCAAAAACCGUUCUUGGUGGCCAACAAUUCUCGCACUUUUGGGGGCCAAAAUCGCUCGCUACCCUACGCAUGCAAAUUAUCCAACCUGUGAAACCGGGCCUCAUAUGGAAUUAAUAAACAAUUUUCAAAAUUCAA